GAUGAACGCUGGCGGCGUGCCUAAUACAUGCAAGUCGAGCGAACAGACGAGGAGCUUGCUCCUCUGACGUUAUCGGCGGACGGGUGAGUAACACGUGGAUAACCUACCUAUAAGACUGGGAUAACUUCGGGAAACCGUAGCUAAUACCGGAUAAUAUAUUGCACCGCAUUGUUCAAUAGUUAAAGACGGUUUUGCUGUCACUUAUAGAUUGAUCCGCGCCGCAUUAGCUAGUUGGUAAGGUAACGGCUUACCAAGGCAACGAUGUGUAGCCGACCUGAGAGGGUGAUCGGCCACACUGGAACUGAGACACGGUCCAGACUCCUACGGGAGGCAGCAGUAGGGAAUCUUCCGCAAAGGGCGAAAGCCUGACGGAGCAACGCCGCGUGAGUGAUGAAGGACUUCGGAUCGUAAAACUCUGUUAUUAGGGAAGAACAAAUGUGUAAGUAACUAUGCACGUCUUGACGGUACCUAAUCAGAAAGCCACGGCUAACUACGUG
rnacentral:rRNA from 1 species